AAUGCGGGACUCUAAGAGGCCCCGUAAUUGGAAUGAGUACACCUUAAAUCGUUUAACGAGUAUCAAUUGGAGGGCAAGUCUGGUGCCAGCAGCCGCGGUAAUUCCAGCUCCAAUAGCGUAUAUUAAAGUUGCUGCAGUUAAAAAGCUCGUAGUUGGAUCUGGGGCUUGAGGUCGCUGUCUAACGUUUCGGCGAUGACGGUGUUGCUCAGCUCUGCUUGCCGGUAACUGUUGCGGUGUUCUUCACUGAGCGCUGUAGCAGCACGGCACGUUUACUUUGAAAAAAUUAGAGUGCUCAAAGCGUGCUUGUCGCUUGAAUAAUGUUGCAUGGAAUAAUGGAAUAGGACCUCGGUUCUAUUUUGUUGGUUUUCGGAGCUUGAGGUAAUGAUUAAGAGGGACGAACGGGGGCAUUCGUAUUGCGGUGUUAGAGGAGAAAUUCUUGGAUCGCCGCAAGACGGACUACCGCGAAAGCAUUUGCCAAGAACGCUUUCAUUAAUUAAGAACGAAAGUCAGAGGUUCGAAGACGAUCAGACACCGUCCUAGUUCUGACCAUAAACGAUGCCGACCAGCGAUCCGUAGUGGUUGCUUUAUGGACCCUACGGGCAGCCUCCGGGAAACCAAAGUAUUUGGGUUCCGGGGGAAGUAUGGUUGCAAAGCUGAAACUUAAAGGAAUUGACGGAAGGGCACACCAGGAGUGGAGCCUGCGGCUUAAUUUGACCCAACACGGGAAAACUCACCCGGUCCGGACACCGUAAGGAUUGACAGACUGAUAGCUCUUUCUUGAUUCGGUGGAUGGUGGUGCAUGGCCGUUCUUAGCUGGUGGAGUGAUUUGUCUGGUUAAUUCCGAUAACGAACGAGACUCUAGCCUGCUAAGUAGUGUUGCUAUUGUUAUAUGGUUGACACUUCUUAGAGGGACAAGUGGCAUUUAGCCACGCGAAAUUGAGCAAUAACAGGUCUGUGAUGCCCUUAGAUGUCCGGGGCCGCACGCGCGCUACACUGGAGAAGUCAGCGUGUGUUAUCCAAGUCCGAAAGGACUGGGUAAUCCGUUGAACCUUCUUCGUGCUUGGGACUGUGGCUUGGAACUAUUCCACAUGAACGAGGAAUUCCUAGUAAUUGCAAGUCAUAAGCUUGCGUUGAUUACGUCCCUGCCCUUUGUACACACCGCCCGUCGCUACUACCGAUUGAAUGGUUUAGCAAGGUCCUCGGAUCGUGGCCGUAGGGGCACGCAAGUGUUUCUGCGGUUUGCGAGAAGACGACCAAACUUGAUCAUUUAGA
rnacentral:rRNA from 1 species